rnacentral:rRNA from 1 species
UGGGGAAUUUUGGACAAUGGGCGCAAGCCUGAUCCAGCCAUGCCGCGUGCGGGAAGAAGGCCUUCGGGUUGUAAACCGCUUUUGUCAGGGAAGAAAUCUUCUGAGUUAAUACCUCGGGAGGAUGACGGUACCUGAAGAAUAAGCACCGGCUAACUACGUGCCAGCAGCCGCGGUAAUACGUAGGGUGCAAGCGUUAAUCGGAAUUACUGGGCGUAAAGCGUGCGCAGGCGGUUUUGUAAGACAGAGGUGAAAUCCCCGGGCUCAACCUGGGAACUGCCUUUGUGACUGCAAGGCUUGAGUGCGGCAGAGGGGGAUGGAAUUCCGCGUGUAGCAGUGAAAUGCGUAGAUAUGCGGAGGAACACCGAUGGCGAAGGCAAUCCCCUGGGCCUGCACUGACGCUCAUGCACGAAAGCGUGGGGAGCAAACAGGAUUAGAUACCCUGGUAGUCCACGCCCUAAACGAUGUCAACUGGUUGUUGGGAAGGUUCCUUCUCAGUAACGUAGCUAACGCGUGAAGUUGACCGCCUGGGGAGUACGGCCGCAAGGUUGAAACUAAAGGAAUUGACGGGGUCAUAGCUG